rnacentral:lncRNA from 1 species
UUGUAAACUGAUCUUGCCAAGGUGGUCUUUCCAAUGCCUCCAAAGCCCCAUAUGGGGAGGAAGGUGGUUCGUUCAGUGGUGCUCCCAGAUAAUCGAGCCAAGAUUUCCAGUUUUUCCUUGGCCCUCCCAAUAAUUUCUGCUUCCUCUAUGGUCCCUGCAUUUUCCCUGAUAUCUGGAAGUUGGUGCUCGUUGGUAUGAGUUUCUGGCGGAAGACAGUAGUUCUGACGGUCUUCUGUUAUCUUCUGUAGACUCUCUUGCAUCUUCUUCAUCUUGUCUGGCAUAUUAAUCUUCUUCCUCAUAGCUCCGAACUGCAAGAGCAUGACUUGAUCUAUCAGGACAUGCACGUUGCCAUAAUUUAAAUCAAAGAAAAGCGUACGUAUGGUUAAACAAAUGAGUGCUAACUUUCCCAGGUUAUGAAGACCCAUUACAUGGCCUGUCAUCAUAGAUACGCUGGUCCUGACAUUUUGUACCCAACUAGUAGAAUGAAAAUACAAAGGUUCGCUGCAAAAAACUUGCUAAAGAUGCUUGCACUCUGAGACAACGCCUACGAGACAAAAAGCUAUUUAGCACUAACAACAGUAGUCUAAUAAGGUUUACAGGACAAGGACAUAAAGCUCAGGCUUCUCUGAACAACAGCUGAUCCUCUCUACGAACAACAUAUCUGAAUAGCAUACCUGAGUAAGUUCAGAUUCAUUUAGUAGGACAGCUACAGCUGAUCCUCUCUGUGAACAACAUAUCUGAAUAAAUUCAGAUUCAUUUAGAUAAGUUACAUCACUAUGCAAAUUCAGAUUUUUUUUAAGAUAAUGAAUUUGUUUGCAUAAUUUACUUUACUACAAAAAAAUAUAUUCAGAUCUAGUUCAUCAUCUAAAAGAUCGGUUCCACCAGUUCAUAUCCUAGAAAAUAAACAGCAACAUUCAGAUCCAGAUUGAUGGCAACCAAAUGGAGGGAAUCUUGCAUACCAGGCCGGCGUCAGAUUCGUAGUCAUCAAGCAUGUCGGAGAUGUCGUACAUGGCGGCCUUGAGCCGGUUCACCCACAGGAGCGCCGAUCUGUCCGUGAUGGACCGCCUCUCGGCGUCGCUGAGCGCGGCCUCCACCGACUCCAGCGUCAUCUUCAACUUCUCCAGGUCUUCGGUCAGUUUCUUGUGCAGCUUGAUCUUGCCCACGAUGGCGGAUCCGAGCUGCUUGAUCACCACCUUGAUCACGCCCGAGGCGACCAAUCUUGCCAAUGUGGUCUUUCCAAUGCCUACAAAGCCCCAUAUGGGAACGAAGGUGGUCCCUUCAGUGGUGCUCCCAGAUAAACGAGCCAAUAUUUCCAGUUUAUCGCCGGUCCUCCCGAUAAUUUCUGCUUCCUCCACAUUCCCUGCAUUUUCCCAGAUAUCAAGAAAUUGCUGGUCAUUGGUGCGAAUUUCUGGCGGAACACUAUGAUUCUGAUGGUCUUGUGUUAUCUUCUGUCGACGCUCUUGCAUCUUUUUCAUCUUGUCUGGCAUAUUGAUCUUCUUCCUCAUAGCUCCGAGC